AGAUAGCAUCCUCACAACAAAUAAUUCUUCUUUUGAGAGACCGUGAUGGAGAUACGCAUUGUCCUCGGUAAACGAUGCCAAAAUCUUAUUAUUACCACAUGUAUCGACAGACAUCACUACCAAACGAGUACUUCAGAGUUCAGAAUACAACAAGCAGCAGCAGCAGCUAAUUAGAGAAAAAUUGUGCAGGCAUGACACCUGCCACACACCAUACUACAGGGGGCAUACCAACGGUAAUAAAAGAGCUCUAUAUAACGGAGUCCUCUCCCUCCUAAUUUACCAGCUCGGAUCGGAUCUAUGCAACAAACUGCAACGGACGGUACGAUAUCAACUUGUUUCCACAAGACCCAGGUUUCGCCACGGCAGCAAGGACCGGGGUGCUCGGGUCACCAUGCCCGGCGGACAUCACUGGACGGUGCAGAUCUUGAUGACGGAGGCGACGCCGAUGCGGUGCAGGACGACGACAGCAUCGCCGGCCUUGCAGAGCUGCUUCUUCACGGCCGACUUGAGCGCAGCCUGGAGGAUCUCCUCUGUCGACUCUGAGUCUGUGGCCUUGGCAGAGCCUUCGGCAAGGAGCGGGAUCAGGCCUCUGUAGAUCAGGCUGUGCCUGGCGGGGCCCUCGGAGCUAAUGGUCCAGUCGAACGAGUCGGUCGUCAGCACCGGGACGACCACCGAAAGGAUCGGAACCCUGGGCCGGUACUUGGCAACCAGCUUGGCCGUGGUGCCGCCACGGGUCAGGACGACGAUCAGAGUGGCCCUGGCCUUGUUGGCAGUCCGCACCGCCGAGGAGGCGAGGGACUCGAGCGGGCUCAUCGGGAGGGGUGCGGCCUUGAUCAUCUCCUUGAAGACGGCGUCGUUGUCCAGGGAAGACUCCGCCUCCACGCAGAUGCGAGCCAUGAUCUUCACAGCCACCUCGGGGUAUGCUCCAGCAGCACUUUCACCACUGAGCAUGACACAAUCAGUUCCAUCAAGCACAGCAUUUGCAACGUCGGUAGCCUCAGCGCGAGUUGGCCUGGGGACUUGAUCAUGGACUCAAGCAUCUGUGUCGCUGUGACCACAGGCUUGCCAGCAAGGUUGCACUUGUAGAUCAUCAUUUUCUGUGCAAGGAAUAUCUUCUCGACUGGAAUCUCCAUUCCAAGAUCACCUCUAGCAACCAUAAAGGCAUCGGUUUCCCUCAGAAUGUCAUCAAAGUUUACAAUGCCCUCUUGGUUUUCAACCUACAGAUUCAAGAAAGAAGUCAGAUACAUAACGCGAUAACUAACAUGGUCACAGGCAAGCACAUAUGUAUAUAUACACAGUAGAUUUUGUCAACAUGGCAGUCAAACAAAGCCAAGUAACCUGAACAAUCUCCCAAGUACAAGGAAAGAACAUUGUCAGGGGAGAUGCAGGAAAAGAAGAGACAAAACUUGCUUAUCUAACUGUCCCAAGGUUUAACCAAAUGUGCUCAUUAAGGAAACCACGAAGAACAGAACAAGUUGUGUAUUUUUACUACAGGAGCAGAUGUGAAACGGGCCACAGGGAAGAACCAAAGAGUUCAUGGGUUCCAGAAUUGAGAUUUCCAGUGUGUAUUAACAAAAGCUCGACUGCAAAACAGUUAGGCAGCUCAAUGUAAGAAAGAAACGUCAUCGAUGGUUGCCCUGGUACUUAACUAAAAAGAGGCACAGCUAAUUGUCCCAAUUUUAAGCAAGCGUGUCGUUAAGGAAAGCACAAAUAAGAUAGUCAAUUGUGUAUUUUUGCCUAAUAGAGCAUAGAAUAGACUACGCCGGUUUUUACAAACAGGAGCACAUGUGAAACAGGUCAUAGGGAAGAACCAAGGAGUUCAUCCAGUGUGUAAUAAGUAUCAACAAAAAGAUUGACUGCAAAACAGUUAGGCAGCUCAACCUCGAUGUAACAAAGAAACAUCAUCUAUGGUUGCCCUGGUACUUAACUAUCAUGCAGAAACGUUUCAUCAUUGCAGAGAAUAUGAAAGAGUUUAGCAAGGACAGGAAAAUGAACACUACGUGAACGCAUAAAAUAGCUGAGAGUAACAAACAUACAAACCUUUGACAUUAACUUGAUGCGCUUUGCAUGCUGUCCAAGAAGCUGCCUGACGGUCACCAAAUCUGAUCCUUUGCGGACAAACGACAAAGCAAUCAUGUCAAUGUCAUUUGGCACGCCCCAUCCCAAAAUGUCCUCCUUAUCCUUCUCCGUCAGCGUAGGAAGGUCGACGACAAUUCCUGGCAGAUUACAAUUCUUCCUCUCUCCAAGCAUUGCAGUGUUCUCACACCUACAUCUGACAGUUCCAGCUUCUGGGUCGCAAGACAGAACAGCCAAGGAGAUGGUACCAUCAGCACAUAGUAUGACAUGCCCAGGCUUCACAUCCUGAGGAAGUUUCUUGUAACUCAUGGAGAUCGUGUUUGUAUCGCCCUUGAUAUCAUAGUCAGUGGAAACAGUGAUUUCUUGACCCUUUGUCAGUUUGAUUGGUUUACCAUCCUUCAAAAAUCCAGUACGAAUCUCAGGUCCCUGCAGUAAUGAAGAAAAUACUCAGUACAGAUCAUCAUAUAAUGCCCUCAAAUACCUACUUACAAGAAUCCAAUCAGAAUGUAGGUUACAGAUUACACAUCAUAUGAAACAGUCUUUCCUUUUUGCCAAAACAUUAUACGAAAUGGUCACCAAAAGAAAACACUGCACUAAAACAACUGCUUGCAAGGACCAGUCUCAUUGAGCUUACUGAACUACUCCCUCGGUUUACUAUUAUAAGAUGUUCUAUUUUUUUCCUAAAUCGGAUGUGUGUAGACUCGUUUUAGUGUAUUUGUUAACCCAUUUCAGUCCGUGUGUAGUUCAUAUUGAAAUAUCAAAAAAAAUCUUAAAAUAGUGAACGGAGGGAGUAAGAAAGAAAUAAAACCAUUAAAUUUAAACAUGUGAUCUGUGAAGCACCACAAGAUGAAGAAAUAGUUAUAUAUAUAUGAAUGAGACGAAACAUUAAGCCAUUAUUGUGUAAUAAACAAUUACUCGAGCAUGUUUUCUUACUGCCAAAUAAAACCUCUCUAAUAAGUGUAUCAAUCGCUUCCUUCUACUAUUUAAGAGCAUGAACAGAAGUUCCCAUGAGAGCCAGCGAUAUCUUAACACCAAGAUCUGAAAAAGCAGCCACUAAACCAUCCUUAAAAAAUAUUUACAAGUAAUGUCUGGCCAGUUAAACAUACAGUAAAACCACUAGUGAACAAAGUAACUGAACAACAUGCUGACAAUAUGCAAAACUUGUGUUAACUAACAUGAUGUACUGUAUUAUAAAUACAGCAGGUGGUUCGGAGACCGCCAGGUCUUACGGCGCAACCGUCUCCAGCACUGAGCAAUCAGCGUCCGCUGAUGAUGAUAACGGGAUCCGUAGGCCGACGACAACACGAGACGGAUGCCGCUGCGCAGGCCACCCCAUAGCGUGUCACCCUACAUGCCAUCCCAUGAUAUAUCUAUUCCGUUUCGCCGGCAUCGCAAAUGGGCAGCAGCCAACCACCCGCAGCAGCCCAAUCCUAGAUCCGACCUUGUACGACAAGGCAGAGCACCCGGGGCCAAUCUAAGCACACAUGUGCGUGCCAUGAAAUGUAGCCCCUCAAAAUAAGUCAAAACCACCAAAGCUGAAAUCCUAAUCCGACCAUGCCGUUGCCUCCAGAUCACCCCAAUCCAACUCCGAUCGACGACAGAUGAGUAGAUCGGAGUCCAUUCUCGAACCAAAACCGAGAGAAGCUACUCGACGAAAUGGGCCGAUCCGGCGUAGAAAAGAAUGAAGAAUGUUACCUUGGUGUCGAGCAUGACGGCGCAGAGGAUGCCGGUGUUGUGCAUGGCCUGGCGGAGGGCGUCGAGGGUCUCCUGGUGGUACUCGUGGGUGCCGUGGGAGAAGUUGAAGCGCGCGACGUUCAUCCCGGCGCGGAGCAGCUUCUCGAGCAUGGGCACGGAGCGGGAGGCCGGGCCGAGCGUGCACACGAGCUUGGUCCGAGGCGUCCGCGCGUCCGCCGCCGCGUCCCGCUCCAGGUCCGCCAGCACCGCCGCCAUGUCGAUGUUCGCCAUCGCCGCCCGCGGUGUGGUGUGGUCUGGGGGAGGAGGAGGAGGGGUCGGGGGUGUGGGUGUGGCGACGGCGAUGAGAUUUGGAUUUGGUCGCGGGCGGAUGGAUGGAAGUUUUAUAGGAUUGGAAGGGGGAUUUUCUUGUGGGUGGGUUGGGCGAUUCGGUGGGCGAAGAGGCGGAGGGAGGAGGAAGAUGGACACGUGGUUUGGGCACCGAGUCGAGUGGAGAGGUGGACGCGGACGCUCUCGGCCACCAGUGCCUCUCCGUUAGCGUCAGCCGUUUUCCGUGUCUUCUUCUUUUUUCUUCUUCAUCUUCUUGGGGAAGAAGUUGGGACUACUUGGCUGGCUAUUAUUACUUGCUGAUGAUGGAAAUCCUCUAGAGGCGGUGUCCUGCACCGGUCAAAACUUUCAGCUGGCCGCGCGCGGCCGUCGGAUCCAUCAGCUGCACACGUGUUGCAUCGUUAGAUCUUCAUGUAGUAAAAAAAAUUAUGCAACAAAUUUCUUUCACGAUGCAAUAAAUCUCGUCUACGGUUGUAACAAAAAUAUAAUUGUAGCAAAAAAUAUUAACGUGGUCGUAACAAAAAAUGAAGCUGAUGAUGCGUGGUAGCAAAACAAAUAAGGGUUGUAGCAAAACAAUCCGGUGAACUCGGGUUGCAACUCUGACGAACGUGUAUGCAACUUUUUUAAUGAAUGGUUGCAACAAAAAUGAUACCGGUUGUAGCAAAAUUAACACGACUGUAGCAAAAACACCGAUUGUAGCAAAAAUUCCACGAACUGAGGUUGCAACCAAACUUAUAUGCAGCUUUUUAGUGGUAAAUGUAGUAAAUUUGGACACCGGUUAUAGCAAAUUUAAACGAUCACCACAGGGGAAAAUGUUGCAUGACCAUACGCGCGAGACGCGUGUACAGCGAGCGAUCGGCGCGUUGCUUCCGCCGGCGCGCCCAAGGGAAACUUUUCUCAAUCCUCUAUCAAUUUUAUUUCUUUGCCAAAAAAAUCUCUAUCACUUAAAAACCAUACUGAAGAAAGCAAGAGGUGAAGAAUAAAUAGAUUUCCAAUGUGAGGUAGUAAGUGUUGUGUGCUUUUGAUUAACUCCAUCGCUACGCGAUCGAUGAUGUCGUACAUCGUAAGAAGUCAUCGACGCCUACCCGCACAUAUUGCAAGGAUCGGCCGUCUAAGGGACCACAAUGAUAGUGAAUCAACGAUAGUAGCGUCGUGCAAGGCCGGCUAUAUGUUUGGGGGAUAAGAUGGUUCGGGCAUUUUCAGGUAUUCACGACGGCCCAUUAAAUUCGUCCGGACCGGUCCAAACAUUCGAGAUUGCGCAAAUCGCCCUUGAACUGGGGAGUCCGACACGUCGUACCCACUCCUAAAACCCCUCUCCGGCCUUCGAUCUAGAACCCUACCCCUUUGAACCCCUUCUUCCAUCGUCUAAGCCGACGUCAAAACACCCGUAGUUGACAUCAUCAUUUGUCGUCCGACGUCGGAAUGGCAUGCCCCACUUGUUCGUCAUGGAAAUAAUUUUAGCUGGCCCUUUGACCUUAAAUUACUAUUACUAAAAAAUAUAUAUAAACAUUGCGUAAGAGGGAGAGUGGGGGCAGAUCACCACUUCCUCCCCGGCUCUUUGCCCUUCAGGUCGUCGGCGCAAUUGUAGUCGUUUGUGGCUGGAGGAGGGUCGGAGGACAAGGUGCCACUGUCGCUGUCGUCGGAGUCGGAGCCCGAGAGGAUGAUGAGGCCCUUCAUCCGAAGGACGACCCUGUCCUGCUCUCGCUUCAUCUUCACGAGUCGGGCCUUCUCUCCCGCUAGCUCCUUCGCCUCGCGCUCCGACUGCUCAAUAGCAAGCUGAAGUGCCUUGGCGUUCUUCCGUUGGAGGCGUUGAGUGUCUAUCUCCACCGUCGUGAGGGACCGGCGGUACACCCAUGCGAGGAGGCGUUUGUCCUCCUCGGGCUCCGCCAGCAUCCCGCGGCGGCUUUCCUCUCCCUUGCAUGCUGCCUCUCACGCGGGCGGUGCGCGCCUUCGAUUUUCGAAGUGCGCUUGCGGGCCAACGACGUGGGCACUCAGGGGCGGACCUACAUUGAGGUGAGUGGGGCCUAGGCCCCCACUCAAAAUUUGAAACUCUAGUAAUAAUUGCUUGUGCUUUUCGAAAAAUAUGCUAAAAUUCUUUGAAUUUUGAACAAAUAUGUCCCCACUCGAAUACUUUGUCCCUAGUUAAAAUACUUUCUAGGUCCGCCACUGUGGGCACUAGGACCCAAAGCUGCUGGCGGGGGAACGAUAGCGGUUUGGGUAGGUGCGGAUUGCACAAUCCUGACGGAGCUGCACGAGGGCCGGAAGGGUCCAGCUCCGGCGUCAUAGCUCCGCUGACGCGGGAGCUGCGGUUGAGCUCCAGAUCCGGAGCUGCCGUCGGUAUCCACCAUGGACCGCUCCAAGGCGAUGCGAAGGGCCAUCUCCUCAUCGUAGUCGCCUUCGGAGCCGGAGCGACUGCGGGGGUUCGACAUCACACUCGGUGGGAUCGGACUCGAAGAGGGGGAUGAGAAGAUGGAGCGAGAGAGAGUGAGCUAGGGUUGGAAAGGAGGCGCCCGGAGUGGGGGUUUUGUGGGGUUAGUGGUGGGUCUGGGCCUCUCAGGCAGACGUGCCCGGACAUGACCAGGCCACCCCAUACCCGCCCUAUAUCUGGGCUGGAUAUGAGGGGUAUCGGUCAGACCGGGUGUUUGAGAUGGGCAUGUGGGGUCCGAUUGGGUUGUGGUUUUUGUGACCUGUCACCGAUCGGGAGGCAUGUCCACGCGUUCGAGACGGGUACGAGGGUUCCGGUUGUAGAUGCUCCGGAGGAAUAGGACUUUGGCACGCUCAAGGACUUAACCAUAUUUUUCAAAUUUUGUAAUGCUGGUUUUGCUGAGCAUUGUGCUAUUUAGUACUCCUUGUGUUUCUUUGCGGCGCGGGGUCCGCUCGGGAUCGAUGGCCGAGAGAAUGUGGCUGGGCAGCUGGCCGUGGCACUAGCAGUAGCGGCCUCGUUGCGGCGCGGGGUCCGCUCGGGAUCUCGAGGACGGAUCAUUCGUCCCCACGCGAGGGCAUAUGCCGCGGCACGGUACCCCUGACGGCAAAACCAGCGGGCAGCGCAACGCCCGUCAAAAACCGGCGACCAUUUUCACUUUCAUCGCCCGCCCUCGUUCUGGACCCCCGGACCGGACCGGAACGUGCCGCUCUUUCGUCCCUACUGCGCUUUUGGUGAUAGCCGGUGACGGUCCGACCGAGAGUGUACCGCACGUCCCAUCAUGGGUCCGUGCGCAUGUCACUGCGGAAAAAUGGCAUUGAAUAAUUUUGUUACUCGGUGGAAGGAAAUUUGCGGUUCCAUUUUGCCUUGCGGUUUCUUUUCUAAAAGGUUCUUUCUUUGACCAUCUCCAUCCGUGUCACGGGCGGUAGAGCUUCGCAACGGUCCUUGUCUUUUAGACAGCCAUGGAACGAUAUACUAGAGUAAAAUUUUACAACAUGUAAAAAAACACUUUACAAGACAGGAAUAAUAUUAUUUAACGCGUCAUAAAGCGUUGGCUCAAACAGUAGUCGAAAAAAUGAGCGCCCGUUGUUCCAGCAGAAACGCUAAAAGUUCGACGCGUUAAAAUUUUAACUUGCACAUUUUUACGCAAAUACAAGAUAAAAAAUGAUAGAUAGUAUAGAUAGUUCACAUAGAUAGAAACUACUCCCAUCAAUAAUUCAUCUAGUACAUAAUAAAAACGAUAAGCUAUUCCUCGUCGUUUUUCUCCAACGCGCUGGUCUCCGACUCUGUCAUGGUGAUGAAGGCGACAACCCACUGUUCAUUAUCUGUGGACUAAGUCUGACGCUUUCUUGAGCUUCAUAUUGAAGAGUGCGGCUUGCUUCCGCGUACGUCUGUCCUCACGAUAGGCGACUUGCUCCGCCUCCUCUUCGCCCUCCUUUGCGCGGAGGAUGCGUGCUCGUCGAGGACGUCCUGCGGGAACUGUUGGCGCCACUCCUCCCUGACAUGUUCGUCCAUCUGAGCGAUGCCGAGGCGGCGCUCCAGCCUCCGGUUCAGGCGACGGUCCUCUUCGGUGACAACCCGCACGGAAGGCGCGAGCUGCUGCACCCACUUCCGCGUCAUCACCUCGGGAAAAUUCAUUUCCCUAUGAGUCCGGUUGAGGCGUCACGCCACCGCGUCGUACGCGCGAGCGUCCUCGUAGGCGGUGUUGAAGCCGGGGCGCAUGUCACCAGAGCGGAUCUCGACGUACAAGGUGCCGGAGGGCGCGCGCGUACGCCACGGUAGCCCGAAGUUCUGCGAUGACGCGGCGGCGGCAAGGUGAGGCGAGAGAGCGAUAAAGGGCGCGUGGCGAUGCGAGGAUGCGUGGAAGAUGCACUGAAUUUAUAGUGCGUGUGUUUUUACAUCCAGUGUUGGAGAUGCUCUGAGGGCAUCUUCAAAGCGGUCACUUAAAUCGUGUGUUGCGGACCACGUGAUUUGGAUGCGGUUUAUCGAACCAACGUGUGUUUGUAUCGAUUAGUUGAGCAAUACAGACAUAUUAUUUUUGAUAAAACAAAGACAAAUGCGGGGUCUUUACGAAAGUCCAACAACAACCACGUAGAACUCUGACACCUCCUGUCCAUCCAAAACCCUUAUCGGACCUACACUUCCAUCCUCCCCAUUAUUUUCUUUCCUUUUUCUCUUGCUUUCGCCACAACUCCAUCACCCUGGCUGCAGGAUAACACAACAGAAAAAAUGACGAACUACAUACACGUCUAGGAUCACUACGAAGAUGCAUACGCAGUUUGAUCUGAUAAUUACCGACUUGCAGCGCAACGAAAGGAGACUCGAGGAUCACUAUGAAGAUGCAUACACGUCGAGGAUCACUACGAACCGCGAGGAUGUUCUCCCUCGGACACAAACUCGAACAAUCCUUCUAGAGGCUCUUGGACAGAACCACUCUCCACCUAUCAAACUAAGAUCAAAACUAUGACCCCUUUAUUGAAUUGCACACAUCCGGAGUCCACUAUCCAGCAGGGCUUCGCCGUCCAUAACCAGGCCCGAUCAAAGACUAGACAACUUUUCGACUACGUAACUAUUUUGCGGAGAGGGAGAUAGAAAGCCGUAUCAUUGCAUGCCAUUUGUAUGAAAGAGCUUGUGUGAAAUGGGGAGCUCUUUCUGUUGGUGUCCUGGAAUAUGGGGUGCUUACCACGUCGUCCUGCCAGUGUAGGCUGGGAUGAGGACCCGCCAAGGAUCUAACGACCAAUAUGCAUUCUUAUCCUCAUAAAAACUUGAAAGUCUCGCUAAGGAUAAACAUGCAUAUUGGAGACGCUUUAACAAGGUGGAUAUCGUCACAAACACAUUUACUAAAAAGAAAGAAUGCAAGAUAUAGGAUUACACUCGCCACAAGGUACAACAUGAAUAUCCUAAUACAUCAAUACGUAGCAAUCGUCAUAUAAAAGAGCAGGGUCCUGCUACGGAUAAAACAAACGAAAAAGAAGACGUCCACCCUGCUAAUCUCAGGCUGCCAACCGCGAAUCUAUCCUAUGAUCAUCGUCAUCGUCGAAGAAUAUGAAGAAGAAGAAGAAGAAGAAGAACUCUAGAUAGGACAAACAUCGCUCUCACGUCAAACAUCGGUUUACAUGUACCUGCACCUCUUGCUGUAGUAAUAAGUGAGCCUUUAUGGGACUAAGCAAUCUCAUUAGCAUGGGUAUAAAAACUAGCAAAGCUUAACGGAUAUAAAAUGGUUAAGUGGCGAGGCCGCAACAAACACUAAUCAUUUAUAUCUGGCUAACUUACGAGUAGAAGAAUAAGAAGAGUGAUUGAUCUACGUAUAAUCGGGCGUGAUGUAGUAAUGAUCAUGAACACAUACUUACGAGUCAAUCGUAAAUCCAUCGUGUUCUCUUCUUGCAUCAAACCUUACAAGAAUGGACGGUCAUUGUUACCCACGCGGUUGGUGAAUUUUAGUUGAUUUAAUUUGAAGUUCUUUACAACCAGAUAUUAUAAUUUUGAAAUCAUCACAUAACCGUAGACACAACUUUCUAAAUUUUAUGACCCUACAGGGAUGCUUCAAAUAGUCCAUCAGAAAUUAUAACACGCAUUCGAUGAAAAAUCUCACAUCAUAAUAACUGCAAGGAAUCCCUGUGGACAAGCCAGUAGUCAAAGAUAAAACUAAAUCAGCAAGACCACCCAACAUGUCAAUAAACUCAUAGAAACCAUGUAUCUCGUUCUCAGGAUACGUCCAAAUGAACUAGUGUAAAAUAACCAAAUCUCGAGUUUCUCGAGCGGCACUGCACAUUGCCCUGUUUUGGACAAGCAUCAUCAACAUUCGUCCCCUGUAUCAUGUGAAUUAAAAUCUACGUGUUCAUGACGUCCAAUGUAGUAACAAAAUUAUCAAUCUUAUUAAGUUGGAUAAAUUUUAGUAUCAUUGUCCGGCCAUUACAGUUUUUUGCUUUCCAAUAUUUUUAAAACCAAAAUAAAAAACUUUGGUUUUCUUCAAAGAAUAAUGCUUUUAAAAUGUUUGUAAAUAUAAAAUAUUUAUUUAUUUUUAUAAUUUAGAUAACACAACACAUUAAAAAAUGGUCAAAAUAAUUAAAAAUCAUGCUUUGUAAAUAACAUCAAUUAUUUUUUAUGCUUUUUCAAGAUUUGAAGUAUGUUCAUACAUGUUUCAGAAAAAAUGUUCAUGUAGUUUUAUAAUAAAUCUUCACAUUUUUACAAAAAUAUAUAUUUUUAGAACAAGUAUUCAAGUUAUUUUAGAGAGAACAAAAAUUACAAACCGAUAAAACCAACGGAAGCAGAUAAAAAUGCAGUAGCAGGGGAGCUGGCUAAGUGAGGUUCCUAGAUGGAUGGCCCAAUCUGGUUCGCCAGAGCGAAACGCUAACAUUGUGAAGCUUAUAAUGUGUUGGUAAUGGGGAUCUCCUAUUGGAAACUCCUAUAUGCCGCUUAUCGCGGCAAACAGUGAAAGAUUCGCUGACAUGGGCCCAGUGGGAACUGAACCUGCGAAUAACCACAGAUAUGCACGCGCUGCUAGCCAGUCCGACUUGAUGACUUUUGUAGGAAAUUUACAGCGUGACUUUUAAAGAAACGAACAACAGCGACGAAACAUGAAAGAACAUAUCAACAUUUUUUUUCAAAAAACAUGUUCUAGUGGCAUUGAACACAUGAUCUCCUGUGAUACAACCACGUCACCAGCCACUGUAGUUCAUAGUAUGUUGUGCAAAAUUGGCAGGUCAAAGAUUUUUUUUCAAAAUUUUAAUGUGAUUUUAUUCUCACAAAAGUUUUUUUUAAACUAUCACUUGUAGGAAAAUAAUACUCCCUUCAUUCGGAAUUACUUGUCACAAGAAUGGAUGUAUUACAUCCAUUUGAAUACAUUUUUACGACAAGUAACUCAGGACAGAGGGAGUAUGAAAUUUGUAAAGACUAAAGUAUUUUUUGGGAAAUCUUAUUUUUGAAGGAACAAUAUUGAAAAUGAGAACUCUUCUAAAACUACGAACAACUUUUUUGAAAUAGUGCAAAGACUUUUUGAAAUAACAUUUUUUGAAAACACUAAAUUUUAUUAAAUUAACGACCAUUUCUUCCAUUUGUAGCCAAAAUAUGAAAACAUGAACAUUUUUAAUUUCCGAACAAACUAUGAUAAGGAGAACAUUUUUAAAAUUUCUGAACUUUUUUAAAUUGCUAAGCAAUUUUGAAAAUGAGAUUUUUUGAAACUUCGUUUACCUUUUUGAAAUACGAACAUUUUGAAAUUGUGACCAGAUUAAUAUUUUUGAAAUAUCUCAACAUUUUUAAACUUUGAACAAAUUGAGAAAAACACAAUUUAGAAAUUCCAAGGAAUUUUCAGAAACAUGGUCGCUUUUUGACAUUAUGAACAAAUUCUGGAAAUGAACAUUUUUUUGAAAAUUCUGAACAUUUCAUGAAACAUGAUUUUUAAGAUUGUGAAAAAUUAACAUUUGUUGAAAUAUAUGCACAUUUUCUGAAGCUGUGAAUAAAUUACGAAUCGAUAUUUGUUUUUGUAAUUCCUGGACGUUUUUUAAACAUGAACAUUUUUUGAAGCCGUGAUUUUUCUUAAAACAACAAUACUUUUUGAAAUACCAAAAUUAUUGAAAUUUGUCGAGCAUAAGGAAUAGGAAAACGAGAAAAUAGAAAAAAAUAAAUAAACAAAUAACAAAAUAAAAAGAAACAAAAAUAAUUAAAACUAAACGUAUAUAAAAACAGAAAAAGAAAAAUAUAAAACCACUAUGAACCCUGUAGGUGAUUAUCAAAACCGGAAGAUGAAGAGGUACCGAUGAUACAAUAGAUGGACCCAUCCAAUCGCUUGCUUCGAUCGUUUCCUAUGUUCGAUUGGUCGACAGUUCAACACAAAGUCCAUGUUGGUGAUAGUGAUCUCCUCUCCUAUUCCACGUGUAGGUCGUGCGCGUACCCCACCCCCCUCCUCGGGCUCCUUCGCUUUGUACAUGGGCUUGACCAACUAGCUCAUGUUCAGUUUUGGAAGGUUCCUUCCCAAAGCGAUUUUAUUUUAUUUUGUCAUUUCUUUUGUUUUUCUCCUUUUCUUUUUCUUUUUACUUAAUUUUAUCUUACAUUUUUCGUUUUCUUUUCUAUUUGCAGUUUUGCACAUGGUUAUCCUUUUCCUUUUAAAUUUCGUGAAAUGUUUCUAUAAUCCAGGGACCAAAUCGGUGAACAUUUGGAAAAAUGAUGAUAUUUUAUUGAAAAAAACUGUAAGGAAACCCCCCAUAGCGAGUUUUUUAAAUAAUUAGAACUCAAAUUCGCGCCCGUGGGAAUUUGAACCUGGGUGGCUGGUUUGUACAUCCACCCCACUAGCCAAGUGAGCUAGGCUCACUUUCUAAAAAUGAUGAUUUUUCAAAUGAGGAUUAACGAUUUUUGAAUUCACAAUUUGUUAAUUGAAUUCAAAAAUGUGCAGCAUAUGUUUUGAAUUUGCGAACAUUUAUUAGAAGUUCAUGAACAUUUUUAAACAUAAUGAUCAUUUUUGAAAUGGCUUGAAUUUUAUUGGAACUCAUGAACAAAUUUUUUGCAUAGGCAAAGAUUUUGUGAAAAAUUGAGAAAUACUUCUGAAAUUCAGGAUUUUUUAUGCCUAACAUUUUUUAAAUUCAUGUUAUGUUUUUGAACGAGCAAACAUUUUUUACAAUUUUAUGAACUUUUAUUGAAAUAUGGGAAGAAGAUUUGAAAUUCCUGAAUAUAUUUUCUGAAAAUCUUUUGAAAAUUCAUGAACAUUUUUCUGAAAUUCAGCAACUUGAUUCAUCGUUGUUCGAUCGUGCAGUCCUUUGUGGCGCCCAUGGAUGCAUAUGGACUCGACGACGACGUACGAGCAUCGCGAUGCAUGCACACACGAGCCUCGCGCUUGGUACCGGCGCGCUGGGAAGCAGGUAGUUGCAGCACGCCAUGGUCGCCGGCCGCUCCAACCACGGCACUAUAAAUGCGAGGCCACCUCGAGUUCCCACAGACCCAAGGCGUGAGCACACACACGUACCACCACAUACAAGUUCCAGCGAUCCAAGCCGCAGCCGCCGACUAACCGAGGCUCCUGUCGAGCCAGCCAGCCAUGUCUCGCAACUGGGGCCUCGCGGUGCCGUCCGUGGCGCUGCUGCUCCUGGUGCUCGCCGCCACGGCGGGGCGGCGAUCAAGCCGUUGGAGGAGCAGCCGCAGGGCGGCAAGCGGGCGGACCACCUCACGGCGGGAGCGGCGAUCGAGCCAUUGGAGGCGCAGCCGCAGGACGGCAACAACCUCACGGCGGCCAAGGGCCUGCUGGGGAGGAGCCCGCCGCGCGCCUGGCGUCCGUCCGGACCGAGGAGAAGAAGGACGUCGACGACGCGGUGACGAUGCCGAUGGAGGGGAUGAAGCCGGGCGGCGGCGUGGCGAUCCAGCAGGGCGGCGACCCGGGCACGGUGCCGUCGGCGUCGUCGGCGAGCCGCGAGCACGGCAAGGGAGGAGAGCGGCGAGCGCGGCAAGGAGGAGAGCGGCGGGAGCAGCAGCACCAGCAAGGGAGGGGGAGAAGGUCGGCGGCCAAGAGCUGCCUGACCAAGGAGGAGUGCCACAAGAAGCGGCUGCUGUGCGGCAAGGGCUGCACCCUCUCCGCCCACGCCAAGUGCGCCGCCAAGUGCUCCAAGUCCUGCAUCGCCACCUGCUAGGCGCUCCCCGCGCGCCGCCGCCGCCGUCGACGGCCGGGUCCUUGAGUCCUACGGCGGCCGUCUUGAUCCUGAUCGAUUAGGUUGUUUUGGUGAAGGGAAUAAGGGAAGGGCACGCUGCAGCUAGCUGCAUGUCUGCAUGCAUGUGUGGUGUAGCCUUGCCCCUCGAUCGUCUUCGUGUCGUCGCCGUUGGUCUAGUGUUUUGAUGUGUCCCCGUGUUUGUUCGUGCGUGUUUAGGACUACUACUGUUCGUUAUGUCAUUUCCAUCUCUGUUUUGCUAUAUAUGUCCUUUCUCGUGAGAAAUUUGGAUGAAACUUGAAUAAGAAUUGCAUGCAUGUCAACUUGUUUGCUCAAAAACUAUCGGAAAGACGAGCAGCCUUCGGUCUCUUGAGGGACAGGAAAAAGAAAGGGUGUGCCGAGAACUCAGGUGGCUGAGAAAUAGUAAGGUCUCAGUCACCUGACUUCAGGCCGAGUAUUCAACCCCAGUUUCCCUUGGGCCGGCCUGGUUUCUUUUUUGUUGGUUUUCGGUUGUGGCCUAAUUUUCUAGCUUCCUUUCCUUUGUUUUUUGGGGUGGUGUGAUAUCAGCCAUGCACAGCCCGGCCACAAGGAGCUGAAUCUCUAGCUAGAUGGAUGCACAUACCAAUAUAUAUUUUGCAUGUACGUGUCUUUAAAAAGGAGGAAACUCCGAAAAAAUGUAAGUCCUAAACACCACAUUCAAAAGAUUGAUUUUGUUUGAACUAUUGUAUUUAUUAAGAUGAGAUGUAAACAAUAUCAUACUUCCAUAAUCAGAAACACACACUACGUAUUAUCAAAGUAAAAAAGAAAAGCAAAACUACAUGCCUAAGAACAUAUCUAGUAGAACCCUCAAACCCUUAAAUCUAAAAUCAGUUUUAAGGGUUGAGAAUUUGCCAUUUUUGACACUUUUAAGGGUUGAAAAUAGGAGCAAAGACUAUAACCCUCAAACCCAACCCUUAUAACGGAAUAUUCCCUUAUAAGGGAUGGGUUUUAGGGUUUAGUCUGUCACGCUCAAGAUGCGACCCUAUCCUCAAUUUGGCACGAGGGCCUCGUCAGGGAUAGAAGCGCAUCUCGUCGUGUCGCAAGAAUGGAUAUCGUUACAAGUACAUGUACUGAAAAGAAGAGAUAUAUAAAGAGAGUUGGCUUACACUCGCCACAAGCUACAUCAGAGUCAGAACAGUACAUUACAUAAACAUCAUGAAGAAGAGCAGGGUCCGACUACGGACGAAAACAAACGACAAAAGAAGAACGACGUCCAUCCUUGCUAUCCCAGGCUGCCGGCCUGGAACCCAUCCUAGAUCGAUUAAGAAGAAGAAUAAGAAGCAACUCCAAAUGAACAAUCAACGCGCUCGCGUCGAGUAACCUUUAUCUGUACCUGCAACUAGUGUUGUAGUAAUCUGUAAGCCACAGGGGACUCAGCAAUCUCAUUUCCAAAGGUAUCAAGACUAGCAAAGCUUAAUGAGUGAGGCAAGGUUAAGUGGUGAGAUUGCAGCAGCGGCUAAGCAUAUAUUUGGUGGCUAAACUUACGAGUACAAGAAAUAAGAGGGGAAGAUCUACACAUAACGGACGUGAACUACUGAUGAUCAAAUGAAUGAUCCUGAACACCUACCUACGUCAGACAUAACCCCACCGUGUCCUCGAUCGGAGAAGGAACUCACGAAAGAGACAGUCACGGUUACACACACAGUUGUCAUAUUUUAAUCAAGUUAACUUCAAGUUAUCUAGAACCAGUGUUAAACAAAGUUUCCACGUUGCCACAUAACCGCGGGCACGACUUUCCGAAAAGAUUUAACCCUGCAGGGAUGCUCCAACUAGUCCAUCACAAAUUACCACAAGCCGCAUAGAAAUCCUCAAUCACGAAGCUCGCGAUCUCGUCGGAUUCCCUAGUGGAAAACCUCAACUCUGAGAUUACCCAAAGCAUCACCGGAAUCCCGAUGCACAAGAUAUCUCGUCAAAGGUAAAACUAAUCCAGCAAGGCCACCCGGUGUGUCGACGAACCCGAUAGGAGCCGUGUAUCUCGUUUUCAGGACACACCGUCUAUGCAUAGUGGACGGUAGCCAAACCUCGAGUUGCCCCGAGGUGGCACCGCCGACUUCUAGGUGGGUGGACCAACUCUCAUGCGGAGCACUGGCCCGGGGUUGAUUAAAUUAUCCUCGAGGUCCGGAAAGUCCCUAUGCAAUUUUAUUAGGUGAUUAGGCAAAUGUAGUACCAAUGUUGGGCCUUGCCAGACCAGCUUUAAUCUAAAACGAAUUAUCAAGGGGGUCCCCAUAACAACCCCGAUCGUGUUAGGAGCGCUCAAUUAUGGAACAUAACACCGAUAGCCGGAAACUAAGGGGGCAAAGGUGGAACAAAACACCAGGCUAGAAAGGCCGAGCCUUCCACCUUUUACCAAGUAUAUAGGUGCAUUAAAUUAAAUAGCAUUUAAUAUGGUGAUAUAACAAGGAACCCAUGUUAUCACAUGGAAGCAACUGCACCUGCAACUAGCAACGCUACACAGGGUUAGGCAAGCAGUAACAUAGCCAAUCAGUGGUUUGCUAGGUUGAACAGGUUGAAGGUUUCAUGGCAUUGUUAAGAGGCUAAUAUUUAACAUGUGAUAGGCAACGAGACAUAAUCGGUAGAAACGGUAAACUAGCAUGACAAUGAUAGUAAUGGUAUAUGGGGAAAUGAUCAUCUUGCCUGAGAUCCCGCUUGGAAGAAGAAUGCCUCCGUGAAGCAGACGAACCGACGUAGUCGAACGGGUCCUCACAAUCCGGCACGCUGCGCAACUCUAUCGAGAUGAAGCAAACCGGAAACACAAAUCAACACACGGAAUUCACCACACGAUGCACAACACAUAUGAUGCAUGAGCAGCUGAAUACAUGCAAGUCACGGCAUGACAAUUCACACACUCAAACACUACACAUUAAGUGAAGUUCAAUAUGCAACAAGUUGCAUAUUGUCAAAACUCCACGUUUAAUUAUUUAGUUCACUCCCGGUUAUUUACACGGCAAUAUUAAUGUUGUCAAACAUGCAAGAGGUGAAGCGGAAAUUAAACUACCUAUCUAGACAUUUUAAAUGAGGUCGGAAAUGACAUAUAGCAUCUCCGAGACGACCUCACAUGUUAAUUUACAAUUCUGUCCAGAACUGAGUUAACUUAUUUAAUUAAUUGUUAAACAACAAAAUAAAUAGGUUCUCGUGAUUCUACGCGUCAUUUCAAGCAAACUACACAUAAAGAACAUCUCCAACGGAGCUACGGUUCAAAAUAUACAAGCAUCGCAAGAUAUGAUGGCAUGAAUGCAAUAUGUGUGCAACGACGGUUACGAGCACUUCAAAACAUACAUCCAACAAGAGCAAAUGAAACUACACGAUUCUAAGCAAGUUUCUUGUAGGACACGAUCAAAAUGAAGCUACGGUUCAAAAGAUAUGAGCAAAACAAGAAAUCACUACAAUCUGCCCAAAACAGCCACAUAGCAUUUUCUACGCCCCACAACUACGGGCUACACAACUCCGGUAWACUGNNNNNNNNNNNNNNNNNNNNNNNNNNNNNNNNNNNNNNNNNNNNNNNNNNNNNNNNNNNNNNNNNNNNNNNNNNNNNNNNNNNNNNNNNNNNNNNNNNNNGCCGUCGCCUUGCGCCCCAGCUCGUCGGAGAGCCCGAGCCGCCGCCUCCUCGUCGCCGGAGGUUGCCCGCAGCCCGGAGCUUCGCCCGUCUCCGCCAGCGUCGCGGAUCUCGCCGGGGAACGCCACCUAGCUGCCUCCGCCGCCGAAUCGCGCCGCCACCUCGACAACCCCGGCCGCCUGCAGCCCCGCCGGCGAGUCCUGUCGUGGCGAGCCAUGGCCUCGAUCAGACCUAGAGGUGCGGGCGCUCGCUACACCCGCGUUGACCGGCCUCAGCCUCGGUCCAACAACAGGCUGCACCGCCUGGGCCUCCUCCCCUGCUACGGCCCAGCUCGCCCCCCUUGGCCCGGCUUCCCCCAAGGCAGCUUCGGCCUCCUCAGGUCAGGGCGCCCCUUCAACGGCCCAUCUCCAGCAGAGCCUUCCGGCCCAGGUGAGAGCACCCCCCGAGGCUCUCUAUCUCGCACCCUAGGCGCCUCCUAGUAUUUUACGCCUCAGUUUUGGCCCAAUAGCUAUUAUAGGAUUUAUUUUCGGUUUAGAUAAUUUCAGGAUUUAGCUAAAUAUUUAAACCCCGUAACUUUUAAACCGUAAGUCGGUUCGAGACGUAUUGUAUAUGGUUUUGUCGUAGAUUUUCGCGUAGAAUACGAUUAUCCAACUUGCAUAAUUGUUUGACGACGUUUAGCAUGCCGUAUGCAUAGAAUAACGUGCUGUCCUAAUAUGUUUGCGUCCCGUGUUUAUUGUUCGCGCGUGUCCGGUUUGCCCGAAUGCCUUAGAUAAAAUGUUCAUGCUCUAGGGACCCAUUUGCCAUGUAUAUUAGAGUAGCCGAUGGUAUUUUUGCACGUAGGGAUUUGCCGCUAGAUUAUUUUCCGUGUUUAGGACGUUCUCUUGCAUUUACGUGUGGUGAGAUUAAUGUUGUGCAACCCCACAUAUUUUAUAUGUUUUCGGGGUAGAAAAAUCCAUAGGAUUUUUCUGUGCAAUUAGUUUUAGCUUUUGAGGAAGUUAGUUCACGAGAUAUUUUGCCAUGUUGCCCUUUUGCUUAAUUCGUAGGAUUUAUUCCGUGCUUCGUUUGAAUUAGUUGUCAACUAGGGAGUUGAUCUUGGAUGUUUUGUUUAGCCUCUAGUAUUUUGGUUGCAAUAGAAAUGCAUGUUUAGGUGUUGUUUGCUUGCUCUCAAGUUGCUAGAAAUAGUGCUGUUUUAGAGGAGCUGAAAUAUUUCCAAGUCUGGAAUCUGUUAUAUUUUGUUGCUGUCUUGUCUUGCUUGCAUCUUGUGAUCUGUAGCUCUUUUGAGGUUGGUCCAAUGGAGUUAGUUGUAGCCCUUGUGUUUCUCUUGCAUGCUGUAAGUUUUCAUGCCAUUUGGAGUCCUGUAGCUAUAAGUUUUGCUGCUGUCAAUAUAGCUUCAGAUCGAAAACUGCACUUCAUGAGGUGUAAUUUUCACCAAGUCUGAAAUAGAGUGUGGGAUGCCAUUUUGUGACUUCUUUUCCUAGUGUUCCUUGCUGCCAUGCUAGUUGUUGUUAGUUGUUUGUGGUAGUGCUUCUUGCCCUCUUCCGUGCCGUGCCUUGCUUGAGCAUAUCGGAGUUGUGUAGCCCGUAGUUGUGGGGUGUAGAAAAUGCUAUGUGGCUGAUUUUGGCAGAUUGUAGGGAUUUCUUGUUUUGCUCGUAGGUUUUGAGCCGUAGCUCCGAUUUGAUCGUGUCCUACAUGAAACUUGCUUAGAAUCUCGUGUAGUUUCAUUUUCUCUUGCUGGUUGCAUGUGUUGAAGUGCUCGUGACCGUCGUCGCACACAUAUUGCAUUCAUGCCAUCAUAUCUUGCGAUGCUUGUAUCUUUUGAACCGUAGCUCCGUUGGAGAUGUUCUUUAUGUGUAGAUUGCUUGCCUUGACGCGUAGAAUCACGUGAACCAAUUUGUUUUGCUGUUUAACAACUAAUUAAAUGGGUUAGUUCAGAUCUGGACAGAAUUGUAAAUUAACAUGUGAGGUCGUCUCGGAGAUGCUAUAUGUCAUUUCUGACCUCAUUUAAAAUGUCUAGAUAGGUAGUUUAAUUUCCACUUCACCUCUUGCAUGUUUGACAACAUUAAUAUUUCCGUGUAAAUAACCGGGAGUGAACUAAAUAAUUCAUAUGUGGAGUUUAGUCAAUAUGCAACUCGUUGCAUAUUGGACUUCACUUAAUGUGUAGUAUUUGUUUUCGUGAAUUGUCAUGCCGUGACUUGCAUGUAUUCAGCUGCUCAUGCAUCAUUUGUGUUGUGCAUCAUGUGGUGAAUUCCGUGUGUUGAUUUAUGUUUCCGGUUUGCUUCGUCUCGAUAGAGUUCCGCAGCGUGUCGGAUUGUGAGGACCCGUUCGACUACGUCGGUUCGUCUGCUUCACGGAGGCGUUCUUCUUCCAAGCGGGAUCUCAGCCAAGAUGAUCAUUUUCCCAGAUAGCAUUACUAUCAUUGCCAUGCUUGUUUUACCGCUUCUAUCGUUUAUGUCUCGUUGCCUAGCACAUGUUAAAUAUCAGCCUCUCAACAAUGCCAUGUUAACCUUCAACCUGUUCGACCUAGCAAACCACUGCUUGGCUAUGUUACUGCUUGUUUAACCCUGUGUUAGCGUUGCUAGUUGCAGGUGCAGUUGCUUCCAUGUGAAAGCAUGGGUUCCUUGUUAUAUCACCAUAUUAAAUGCUAUUUAAUUUAAUGCACCUAUAUACUUGGUAAAAGAUGGAAGGCUCGGCCUUUCUAGCCUGGUGUUUUGUUCCACCUUUGCCCCUUAGUUUUCGGCUACCGAUGUUAUGUUCCAUAAACGAGCGCUCCUAACAUGAUCGGGGUUGUUAUGGGGACCCCCUUGAUAAUUCAUUUUAGAUUAAAGCUGGUCUGGCAAGGCCCAACAUUGGUACUAUUUGCCCAACAUAAUAACUUGAUAAUAUUGAAAUGCAUAGGGAGUUAGCGCUACCCGAGGAGUAAUUUUACAUAAAUAGGAGGGGCCAGUGCUGAUGGUGUUGGUCCCAGACGGUCUGCCUGCGGGACCACCGCGAGGAAACUCAAGGUUUGGCACUCGUAGCUAGUUCCAUCCGUCGUGUCCUGAGAACGAGAUACGCGGCUCCUAUCGGGUUCGUCGACACGUCGGGCGGCCUUGCUGGAUUAGUUUUACCUUUGACGAGAUAUCUUGUGCAUCGGGAUUCCAGUGAUGCUUUGGGUAAUCUCAGAGUUGAGGUUUUCCACUAGGGAAUCCGACGAGAUCGCGAGCUUCGUGAUCGAGGAUUUCUAUGCGGCUUGUGGUAAUUUGUGAUGGACUAGUUGGAGCACCCCUGUAGGGUUAAAUCUUUCAGAAAGCCGUGCCCGCGGUUAUGUGGCAAUGUGGAAACUUUGUUUAACACUGGUUCUAGAUAACUUGAAGUCAACUUAAUUUACCCUUAGUAACUAAUGGACUAAGGAAUUUUUCUCGAUUAUGGAGGUGGUUAAAGAGUUCGUCGUAAAGGGUAACGUCGAUGCAAGCUUUGACACUAAUCUGAAUAACUAUGAGUAGUGAAACGGAUUCAUAUAGUAGAGUGGAUAUUUGGAGCAUUUCCGAAAAGCACGUAGUAGCAGCAUCUAUAAAGAUGACAUAAAGAUUUGUAAAGAACGCACGGAUCUGAAAGUUUCAGAACCGUUGACUAAAACCUCUCUCACGAGCAAGACGUGAUCAGACCCCAUAACUAUAUGGGUAUUGGAUUCGUUGGAAUCACAUGGUGAUGUGAACUAGAUUAUUGACUCUAGUGCAAGUGGGAGACUGUUGGAAAUAUGCCCUAGAGGCAAUAAUAAAUUAGUUAUUAUUAUAUUUCUUAGUUCAUGAUAAUCGUUUAUUAUCCAUGCUAUAAUUGCAUUGAUUGGAAACACAAUACUUGUGUGGAUACAUAGACAAAACACUGUCCCUAGUAAGCCUCUAGUUGACUAGCUCGUUGAUCAAAGAUGGUCAAGGUUUCCUGGCCAUAGGCAAGUGUUGUCACUUGAUAACGGGAUCACAUCAUUAGGAGAAUCAUGUGAUGGACUAGACCCAAACUAAUAGACGUAGCAUGUUGAUCGUGUCAUUUUGUUGCUACUGUUUUCUGCGUGUCAAGUAUUUGUUCCUAUGACCAUGAGAUCAUAUAAACUCACGGACACCAGAGGAAUGCUUUGUGUGUAUCAAACGUCGCAACGUAACUGGGUGACUAUAAAGAUGCUCUACAGGUAUCUCCGAAGGUGUUCGUUGAGUUAGUAUAGAUCGAGACUGGGAUUUGUCACUCCGUGUGAACGGAGAGGUAUCUCGGGGCCCACUCGGUAAUACAACAUCACACACAAGCCUUGCAAGCAAUGUAACUUAGUGUAAGUUGCGGGAUCUUGUAUUACGGAACGAGUAAAGAGACUUGCCAGUAAACGAGAUUGAAAUAGGUAUACGGAUACUGACGAUCGAAUCUCGGGCAAGUAACAUACCGAAGGACAAAGGGAAUGACAUACGGGAUUAUAUGAAUCCUUGGCACUGAGGUUCAAACGAUAAGAUCUUCGUAGAAUAUGUAGGAUCCAAUAUGGGCAUCCAGGUCCCGCUAUUGGAUAUUGACCGAGGAGUCUCUCGGGUCAUGUCUACAUAGUUCUCGAACCCGCAGGGUCUGCACACUUAAGGUUCGACGUUGUUUUAUGCGUAUUUGAGUUAUAUGGUUGGUUACCGAAUGUUGUUCGGAGUCCCGGAUGAGAUCACGGACGUCACGAGGGUUUCCGGAAUGGUCCGGAAACGAAGAUUGAUAUAUAGGAUGACCUCAUUUGGUUACCGGAAGGUUUUCGUGCAUUACCGGAAAAGUUUCGGGCUCAUCGGUAGUGUACCGGGAGUGCCGGGAGGGGUGUCGGGGACCAUCGGGAGGGGUGUCACGCCCCAAGGGGUCUCAUGGGCUAUGGGAAGAGAUAAACCAGCCCCUAGUGGGCUGGAAUAAGUUCCCACUAAGGCCCAUAAGGUUUGAGAAGGAAAAACACAAGGUGGAAAGAGUUUCCAAGUGGGAAGGUGGAAUCCUACUCCAAGUAGGAUUGGAGUAGGACUCCUCCACCUCCAAUUUCGGCCAAACCUUUGGGUUUUGAGGCUGCCUCCUCCCCUCCCUCCCACCUAUAUAUACGGAGGUUUUAGGGCUGAUUUGAGACGACNNNNNNNNNNNNNNNNNNNNNNNNNNNNNNNNNNNNNNNNNNNNNNNNNNNNNNNNNNNNNNNNNNNNNNNNNNNNNNNNNNNNNNNNNNNNNNNNNNNNUUCAUACAGGUUUACAGAGAAGCCUGUCUGUACAACAAAGUGAGUGGGAGCUCUGUAGCUUUCCUCAUACUAUAUGUGGAUGACAUAUUAUUGAUGGGGAAUAAUAUAGAGAUGUUGGAGAGCAUAAAGGCCUAUUUGAACAAGAGUUUUCAAUGAAGGACCUUGGAGAAGCUGCAUACAUAUUAGGCAUCAAGAUCUAUAGAGAUAGAUCGAGACGCCUCAUAGGUCUUUCGCAAAGUACAUACCUUGACAAGAUAUUGAAGAAGUUCAAUAUGGAAAACUCAAAGAAAGGGUUCUUGCCAGUUUUGCAAGGUAUAAGAUUGAGUAAGACUCAGUCGCCGACCACGGCAGCAGAUAGAGAGAAGAUGAAUUAUGUCCCCUGCGCUUCAGCCGUGGGCUCUCUAAUGUAUGCCAUGCUGUGUACCAGACCCGAUAUAAACCUUGCCAUAAGUUCGGUAGGGAGGUACCAAAGUGAUCCAGGUACGGAACACUGGACAGCGGUCAAGAAUAUCCUUAAGUACCUGAAAAGGACUAAGGAAAUGUUUCUCGUUUAUGGAGGUGACGAAGAGCUCGUCGUAAAGGGUUACGUCGACGCUAGCUUCGACACAGAUCCGGAUGACUCUAAGUCACAGACCGGAUACGUAUAUGUGUUGAAUGGUGGGGCAGUGAGCUGGUGCAGCAGCAAGCAAGAAGUCGUGGCAGCAUCUACAUGUGAAGCGGAGUACAUAGCUGCUUCAGAAGCGGCUCAUGAAGGAAUUUGGAUGAAGGAGCUCAUCACCGACCUUGAAGUGGUUCCAAGCGCGUCGGGUCCUAUGACACUCUUCUGUGAUAACAAUGGAGCCAUUGCCAUAGCCAAGGAGCCCAGGUUUCACCGGAAGACGAAGCACAUCAAGCGCCGCUACAACUCCAUCCAGGACCAUGUCCAAAGUGGAGUGAUAGAUAUUUGUAAAGUACACACGGAUCUGAAUAUUGCAGACCCGUUGACUAAACCUCUUCCACGAGCAAAACAUGAUCAACACCAUAAUGCUAUGGGCGUUCGAUACAUCACAAUGUAACUAGAUUAUUGACUCUAGUGCAAGUGGGAGACUGUUGGAAAUAUGCCCUAGAGGCAAUAAUAAAAUGGUUAUUAUCAUAUUUCCUUGUUCAUGAUAAUCGUCUAUUGUUCAUGCUAUAAUUGUAUUAACAGGAAACAGUAAUACAUGUGUGAAUGAAUAGAUCACAAUGUGUCCCUAGCAAGCCUCUAGUUGGCUAGCUCGUUAGUCAAUAGAUGAUCAUGGUUUCCUGAUCAUGGGCAUUAGAUUUCAUUGAUAACGGGAUCACAUCAUUGGGAGAAUGAUGUGAUGGACAAGACCCAAUCCUAAGCCUAGCACUAGAUCGUAUUGUUGGUAUGCUAAUGUUUUCUAAUGUCAAGUAUCUUUUCCUUCGACCGUGAGAUUGUGCAACUCCCCGAUACCAUAGGAGUGCUUUGGGUGAAUCAAACGUCACAACGUAACUGGGUGACUAUAAAGGUGCACUACGGGUACCUCCGAAAGUGUCUGUUGAGUUGGCACGAAUCGAGAUCGGGAUUUGUCACUCCGUGUGACGGAGAUGUAUCUCUGGGCCCACUCGGUAGAACAUCAUCAUGAGCUCAAUGUGACUAAGGAGUUAGUCACACGAUGACGUGCUACGGAACGAGUAAAGAGACUUACCGAUAACGAGAUUGAACAAGGUAUAGGUAUACCGACGAUCGAAUCUCGGGCAAGUUCUAUACCGACAAACAAAGGGAAUCGUAUACGGGAUUGAUUGAAUCCUUGACAUCGUGGUUCAUCCGAUGAGAUCAUCGUGGAGCAAGUGGGAGCCCUCUCGAUCAUGUCUGCCUGUCUCCCGAACCCGUAGGGUCUACACACUUAAGGUUCGAUGACGCUAGGGUUAUAGGGAAUUGUUAUACAAGGUUACCAAAAGUUGUUCGGAGUCCCGGAUGAGAUCCCGGACGUCACGAGGAGCUCCGGAAUGGUCCGGAGGUAAAGAUUGAUAUAUAGGACGGAUGGUUUCGGAUACCGGAAGUGUUUCGGGCAUCACCGGUAACGUACCGGGACCACCGGGACCACCGGAGGUGGCCCCGGGGGACCACCGAAGGGGGGCAACGACCCCGGGAGAUAAGGUGGGCCGAGUGGGGUGGGAACCAGCCCCUAGGUGAGCUGGUGCGCCUCCCCACUCAGCCCAUAGUGCAAGGGAGAGAAAAGGGGGGGCAAACCCUAGGCCAGGUGGGCCUAAGGCCCACCAGAUGGUGCGCCACCCCUCCUCCCCCUUCUGGCCGCCGCACCUCCCAUCUGGGGGGCUGCCACACCCCCUAGGGUGGGAACCCUAGGGGUGGCACCCCCUCUCCCCUCCCCCUAUAUAUAUCGGGCACUUUUGGCCAUUGAGACACACGGUUUUUCCCUCUCUCUCGGCGCAGCCCUGCUCUUCUUCCUCCUCCUCUCCGCCGGUGCUUGGCGAAGCCCUGCCGGGAGACCUCGUCUCUCCAUCGACACCACGCUGUGGUGUUGCUGGAGUUCUUCCCCAACCUCUCCCUUCUCCAUGCUGGAUCAAGGCGCGGGAGACGUCACCGGGCUGCACGUGUGUUGAGCGCGGAGGUGUCGUUNNNNNNNNNNNNNNNNNNNNNNNNNNNNNNNNNNNNNNNNNNNNNNNNNNNNNNNNNNNNNNNNNNNNNNNNNNNNNNNNNNNNNNNNNNNNNNNNNNNNGACAUCGUUAAAAUAUUUGUUUUAAAAGUGUCCGGAAAAUAUUCUUGGAUUGGGUCGAAACUUGGCGUGCGGUCUUAUUUUAAUAAAGGUAGGCUGCGUGCCAAAUCUCGUCCCAAUCGGAGUUUGUUUGAUAACCGGUCCGUUGAAUCUAUAGCGGCACUAUAGCCGGUUAAACGUCGGAUGUUUUCGGUGUUUUAAAAAACUUGAUGCCGGUUUGCCCGUUUUCCCUCUCACCUCCGCCUAGCCCCUCUGCACAGUGCAUCGACCCUACGCGCAGCCCAGUCCGAAAACCUCCCGGUACAGGAAACACACGGUCGUAACCGUUGGGUCCGGAUCAACCCCGUUAUACCCAAAACUGUCAUCGGUUUGUUCAUUGGUCUCCCUAACCUAAUAAUUUCGACCGUUCGAUUUCAAUCGAAGGGAUGAGAUAGCCCUAGCCUAAUCCGAGAGUAUAUAGCACUCCAACCCUAGCCGAGAAAUCCGUUCCACCCAUCCAUCCCUAGUCCCAUCGACCCGCCGCCGCCAGCCGCUCCCACCUCGGGAUCUCGUCUCGAUCCCCUCGUAGCCAACCAGCACCGCCCUUGCCCGACCCAACACAUCACCGAUUCCCUCGCCCCACCUGGUCUCCUCCUUGCUCUGCCCGCCGAGCCAGCCUGAUGCAGCAACCUCCUGUGUGUGCUAAGGACCUAGCCGGACAGCACCCUUGCGGUAGGAGCUUUGCCUUCCCUCACAGCAUGCAGGAGUAGAUCGAACCUUCAGAAUCAUCCCCGUCGGACCCUAUCCUUGUUGUGCUCUCUCCUUUCAUUCUCCUUCCUCCUCUUCUUCUCCCUCUCUCCCUAACCUUCCCUUCUCUCUGUUCUAUCCUGCACGUGCCAUGGAUCCCGAGGGGAGCUCCGCCCGCGCCGGCCCGGGUAUCCUUCGUCGUGUCGCCGACCAGAUCCAGCCUGGUUCCGGCUCAGCCCCUCUGCCCAGCGCACCUCUCUCGCGACCCUCCUUCCUUCUGCUUCCUCCUGUGAUCCCUCUCAUCUAUGCUUCUUUCUUCUUUCAGAAACAGAGUGACGCCUGUUGUUGCCGCCGAUGGAGCUCGCCCGUCCCAUCACCCCAAGGCCCCUCGUCCCCGGGAAUGGAUUCCCCAUGUCCGGAUCCGUCAAACCCCGGUCCCUCUCCGUGUCAGCUCACCAUAGCCGCGGCCUCUGUGAACCCCGAGGUGAGCAAUCCCCGUAUCGGAUCUAUGCUGUUUUUCUUAGAUCCGUUUGGGUAAGUAUAGGUUGUAUAGGGUGGGAACUACUCCUAUUAACGAGCAGCAUGCUAGGUUGGGUGGCUAGCGCAGCCAACUCUUAUGCAAGGGCUCCUGGGAUCGAAUCCCAGCUUGCCCUAUAUUUGUUUCUCCUCUUUUUCUUGCACUAGGAUUUUGUGAAUUUUAGAAAAAGGCAUCGAUUUUCAAACACCCGUAGCUUUUAAACUCCUUCUUUUUUCGUGCACUAAGGUAUUUUGUGUAAUUUUAGAAAANNNNNNNNNNNNNNNNNNNNNNNNNNNNNNNNNNNNNNNNNNNNNNNNNNNNNNNNNNNNNNNNNNNNNNNNNNNNNNNNNNNNNNNNNNNNNNNNNNNNGCGCGUGGCGGCCGGCCGCAUCGCCCGUGGCUCCGUCAAGCGCGCGCGCACGUACGCCUGGCCAAGGCGGCAAAGGGGRRUCGCGCGUGCCGUGGCGUGCUCCGGACGCGCUGCCCUUCCCGGGGAAAGUGGUUGGCUGGCUAGGCGGGUGCGCGCGUUCGUGGCCCGUCUCUGUCUUUGCUCUGCUCCGCGGGAGCCGGGUGUCCGUCCAGUGCGCAUGGAGCGCGAGCACGCGUGCUUUGGGGUGGCUUCGGCGGCACCAGGUUGCGGUUGCUUCAAAAAGCCGAGGAGAUCGAUGCUCCAUCUGCAGAUCUGCUUGUCCUUCGCCAUUAUUCUCGUCGCCAUGCCGCCACGCCACCACUAUCUACCGCUGUUGUUCGGUUUUGCCGCCACGCAAUUAUAUCAUGUGUGCAGUGACGAAUCUAGGAUGUAAAUGUAGGGCAGACUUAAGUUCAAGAAUACUAAUUUUUCAUGUCUAAAGCCAUUUUAUAUGUGCUACAUCUAAAUACUGCUGUACUGUGAUGGCCAUUAGUGGUGUUUUUCUGUUUGGCAAAUUUUAAAGAUAUGCUAGAACCGAUUGAAGCUUGUUGAGUAGAAUCGUCACUGGAGCAAGGUAGUUAGAAAAGUGCAGCUAAGACAUAUAUACUACCUCGGUACUGAUUUACUAGUCCCAUUCUAUUUUUGUGUUAUACGAAAAUGCAAAUCAUCUAUCUAUAUACCUACUAAUAAAGGAAAUAGGUAUUCUUAGUCCGUCGUGCUAUUUUAUAUGAAAUUUGAUUAGAAAACUACGUAGAAUAUGAAUAUGAUGUUAUUUACUCGUUAACCAUUUAAAAAGUACUAUAUUAGGUGCAAUCCUAAUCAUUAAUGCAUUAUCUCUCUUUCUUUCAUACCGGUACUGAUCCGGAUUGUCGAUGAACAUCUCAGCAAAAUUAGAAUUGGAGAUGGAAUUGAGGAUCACUUACUCAUUUCUUUGUACGUAUUAAAUCUAUAUGCAAGACGUGUUUAAAAGACACGUGGAAUAUUGAACUGCAUUUUUAUAGGAUAAGAUGAUCUUUGUUUGGGCCAUAGCUACAAAUAGUUAGAUUAUAAACCUUUUUUUCUGAAAAAUAAAAAUAUGUGGUAUUCAUUUCUCCCGUUGCAACGCACGUGCACUUUUGCUAGUACCUAUUAAUAAAAAAUAGGUAUUCUUAGUCCGUCUUGCUAUUUUAUAGAAAACCCCCUUAUGUUUCUAAUAUUAAACCCGCAGUACAUAUUAUAUGUUUUCAAAAUACUCAUAUCUUCUAAACCGUAACUCCAAAUUUAACAUGUUAUAUAUGAAAUUUGAUUAGAAAAUAUGUAGAAUUUGAAUAUGAUGUUAUUUUACAUGUUAAACAUUUAAUAAAAAAUAUAGGAUGCAAUUUUAAUAAAUAAUUCAUUAUUCGUCUUUCUUUCAUACCGGUACUAAUCCGGAUUAGGGAUGAACACGUCAACAAAAUCAGGAUUGGAGAUGAAAUUGAAGAUCACUUGCCCGUUUCUUUAUAUGUAUUAAAUCUACAUGCAAGCCGUGUCAAAAUAGAAGACCUGUGGAAUCUUGAACUGAACUUUUGUAGGGUAAGACCAUAUAUGUUUGUGCCGUAACUACGAAGUCUCAGAUCAUAAACCAUUUUAUUAUAAAUUAAGAGUGUAUGGUUUUUUUCUGCCGUUGCAACGCACGGACCCUUUUGCUAGUACGAAACAAAAUGUAUAUCAUUAAACACCACAUUCGAAUAAAAUUCAUAAUAUUUCUUUCUAGUAUACAUUAUUUUAUUGCUAUUCAAGUAUUCCCUUCAUUUUUUAGUCUGCAUAUAAGGUUUGGUCAAAGUCAAAUGAUAUAAAAUUUGAUCAAAUAUAUAUCAAAAGAUAUCAACAUUUAUAAUACUAAACCUAUAUGUUAUGAAAAUUAAUAUCAUGAUGCAUCUACUAAUAUUGAUUUCAUAUUAUAAAUAUUGAUAUUUUGUUUUAUAAAUUUAGUCAAAGUUUACGAAGUUUGACUUUGAUCAAAUCUUAUAUGCGGACUAAAAGAAAACGGAGGGAGUAUGUGGUUAGACUUUAACCCAAAAUAUUAUAAGGACUAGUAUUGCAGGACGCAGAUAGUAGUACUCUCUCGUUCUAACUUUUUACACGGAAAUUGGUGCAAGACUUCAUUAGCCAUGGUUACUGAAAAUUUGUUUCAUGAGAGCAUCUAGUAUUUCUUCUUCCUCGGUUUGCCAAACACCCUACAUCAGUCGUCUCACUCUGGUAUAAUAUCACUAAGUUAGUUUAUUGUCUUCCUUACAAAAAUGUUGUUAUAAUUAAAUCAUGGGCUAACAUUUGCUCUAUCUGGCUUAUUCCCGUGAGAUCAAAUUCAUGCGCUCUCCGCUUUUUCUUUCUUUCUUUUCGGGUUUGCUAAAACUCAGUUAGCUGAGUUUAACCUAUGGUCUCUUUCAUUUACAGGAUUGUUGAUCAAAAAGCACGUAACGAUUGGUACAGUAUCCAUGUCAAGUUGCGCUCGGCCCGUUUUGCAUUUUUCUUAUUAUUGUGUUGUUGGUCGGUUGCGGCCUGUCACGUCGUCAUAUCUGCCUAGUUUUAUACCAGGGUAGUGAUGCUGCCUUGUCUAUGUUGGGCCAUGUUGGCCUUUUCUACUUUGUUUUCUUGUCACCUUUUUAUUGACCGUUGUCUUAUUUUCUAUAUAUAUUUUUCUAUUUUCAGCCUUUUAAUUUUAUUAUUUAUUUUUAUUGUUCCUUGUUUUAUUUAAUUUUAUGUUUUUUUCUUCAAUUUUAUGUUAGUAAAAUGUAAAGCCAAGCCUUUCCUUUGGUGGAAAUGUUUUUUCUAAUGAGGGUCACAAAUGCAUAUUUUCAAACGCGACGAAACUGAAAAUUCAAAUGGGUUCACUGUUGCAAAUUUUUAGUGAGGGUCGCAACUGCAUGUGUUCAAAUGCUUGUCGCAACUACACAUUUUUAAGGUGAGGGGUAACUGCAAUUUUUCCAAACAUGGUCACAACUAAAUUUUUUAAAUGAAGUCGCAAUAGCAAGUUUUUAGUAAGGGUCCCUAUUGCAUGUGUUCAGAUGCGUGUCGCAACUACACGUUUUCAAGCGAAGGCGCAACUGCAAAUUUUUAAAUGGGGUCGCAACUUCUUUUUAAUUGGGUCCCAAUUGCAAGUUUUUAGUAAGGGUCCAUGUGUUCAAAUGCUACUCCUAACUUCAUGUUUUCAAGUGGGGACACAACUGCAAGUUUUUCAAACGAUGCCACAUCUAUAAUUUGAAAUGGGGUCCCAACUUCAUGUAUUCAAGGGGGGUCGCAACUGCACUUUUUAGAGGGGAGGUUGCAAUUGCAAGUUAUAAAAAUGGAAUCACCAUGGGAAGUUUUUAGUGAGGGUUGCUACUCCAAGUUUUUAAAAUAGGAUCGAAGCUGCUUGUUUUCAAGGGUCGCAAUUAAAAGUUUUUUAAUAGGCUGCAACUACAUUUUUUAAAAGGAGUCGCAACUGCAUGUUUUAAGGGGGUVCGAACUGCAAGUUUUCAAGUUGAAGGUAUCGCAACUACCAANNNNNNNNNNNNNNNNNNNNNNNNNNNNNNNNNNNNNNNNNNNNNNNNNNNNNNNNNNNNNNNNNNNNNNNNNNNNNNNNNNNNNNNNNNNNNNNNNNNNCGCGCUCAACACACGUGCAGCCCGGUGACGUCUCCCGCGCCUUGAUCCAGCAUGGAGAAGGGAGAGGUUGGGGAAGAACUCCAGCAACACCACAGCGUGGUGUCGAUGGAGAGACGAGGUCUCCCGGCAGGGCUUCGCCAAGCACCGGCGGAGAGGAGGAGGAAGAAGAGCAGGGCUGCGCCGAGAGAGAGGGAAAAACCGUGUGUCUCAAUGGCCAAAAGUGCCCGAUAUAUAUAGGGGGAGGGGAGAGGGGGUGCCACCCCUAGGGUUCCCACCCUAGGGGGUGCGGCAGCCCCCCAGAUGGGAGGUGCGGCGGCCAGAAGGGGGAGGAGGGGUGGCGCACCAUCUGGUGGGCCUUAGGCCCACCUGGCCUAGGGUUUGCCCCCCCUUUUCUCUCCCUUGCGCUAUGGGCUGAGUGGGGAGGCGCACCAGCCCACCUAGGGGCUGGUUCCCACCCCCACUCGGCCCACCUUAUCUCCCGGGGUCGUUGCCCCUCUUCGGUGGUCCCCCGGGGCCACCUCCGGUGGUCCCGGUACGUUACCGGUGAUGCCCGAAACACUUUCGGUAUCCGAAACCAUCCGUCCUAUAUAUCAAUCUUUACCUCCGGACCAUUCCGGAGCUCCUCGUGACGUCCGGGAUCUCAUCCGGGACUCCGAACAACUUUCGGUAACCUUGUAUAACAAUUCCCUAUAACCCUAGCGUCAUCGAACCUUAAGUGUGUAGACCCUACGGGUUCGGGAGACAGGCAGACAUGACCGAGACACCUCUCUGGCCAAUAACCAUCAGCGGGGUCUGGAUACCCAUGGUGGCUCCCACUUGCUCCACGAUGAUCUCAUUGGAUGAACCACGAUGUCAAGGAUUCAAUCAACCACGUAUACGAUUCCCUUUGUCUGUCGGUAUAGAACUUGCCCGAGAUUCGAUCGUAGGUAUACCUAUACCUUGUUCAAUCUCGUUACCGGUAAGUCUCUUUACUCGUUCCGUAGCACGUCAUCGUGUGACUAACUCCUUAGUCACAUUGAGCUCAUGAUGAUGUUCUACCGAGUGGGCCCAGAGAUACAUCUCCGUCACACGGAGUGACAAAUCCCGAUCUCGAUUCGUGCCAACUCAACAGACACUUUCGGAGGUACCCGUAGUGCACCUUUAUAGUCACCCAGUUACGUUGUGAUGUUUGAUACACCCAAAGCACUCCUACGGUAUCCGGGAGUUGCACAAUCUCACGGUCGAAGGAAAAGAUACUUGACAUUAGAAAAAGCAUUAGCAUACGAACAAUACGAUCUAGUGCUAGGCUUAGGAUUGGGUCUUGUCCAUCACAUCAUUCUCCCAAUGAUGUGAUCCCGUUAUCAAUGACAUCUAAUGCCCAUGAUGAGGAAACCAUGAUCAUCUAUUGACUAACGAGCUAGCCAACUAGAGGCUUGCUAGGGACACAUUGUGAUCUAUUUAUUCACACAUGUAUUACUGUUUCCUGUUAAUACAAUUAUAGCAUGAACAAUAGACGAUUAUCAUGAACAAGGAAAUAUGAUAAUAACCAUUUUAUUAUUGCCUCUAGGGCAUAUUUCCAACAGGAGCCCCGAGGUCCACCUCCGCGUCUUGAAGGAGGUCCAUAAACGAGGAUGGGGUUGCCAUUUCCUCGAACACCUCGUGCGCGAUGGGAGGAGGUUCGGCGAUGGCGGCGGGCGGGGCCGCGGGCUUCUUCCGCGCCGCGACCUUCUUCCACUUCGGGGACGCGCCGACGACCUUGGAGGAAGCCCCUCGCGGCCCAUGGGAGGACACCUUCAACCAGCUCUUCUUGGGGGCGGGCGCGGCGGGGACGGUGGCCGGGGACGGAGCCGGGGAGGCGGCAGGAGGCGGUGCGAGGCCCNNNNNNNNNNNNNNNNNNNNNNNNNNNNNNNNNNNNNNNNNNNNNNNNNNNNNNNNNNNNNNNNNNNNNNNNNNNNNNNNNNNNNNNNNNNNNNNNNNNNCAGGUAUACGGGGGCGGGGCGGGGGCACGGCGGCGGGGGAAGCCUCCAUGGCGCCGAGGCGGCGGGAGGAGCUGGGGAGGCGGGGGAGUUUUCCCUCCCGCGCGAUGUGUGUAGAGGAGUGCGGGUUGGGGGAGUUUUCCCUCCCAACCCUCACUUCUACAGGCUGGGAAGGGGUUUGAGGGUUGGACCUCUAUUUUUUUUAUGGGUUUAAGGAUUCUAGUCUACGCCGUUUUUUCGAUGAAAACUGUAAAAAAAGUGGUUAUUUUAAGGGUUUGAGAGUUUGAGGGUUCUACUAGAGAUGCUCUAACACUAUUGUACCGCAUAUUCUAUGUAAUGAAUAUUUAUUUCGGAAACCCACCUAGUGGGUUUGCUCAAUGAUUUUUUAAAUAAUAUACAUGCAUUAGGCCGACAAUCCCCCUCUUGCCACGAGUUGCAAUCGUCUUCGAAGACAUGUAGUUGCAGUCGGGUUACAACGCUUGCAAAUGCAAGUUUAGAGGUGGACAUACAACUAGCCGACAACCUAAUUAAAAAUGUGGAGUUGCGACCCCAACUUGGAAACAUGCAGUUACGGCCUCCCUUUGAGAAUGUGCAGUUGCGACCUCCCCUUAAAAACUUGCAGUUGCAUCCUCAUUUGAAAAACUUGCAGUUGCGACCCCCAUUGAAAACAUGCAGUUGCGGCCUUCCUUAAAACUUGCAGUUGCGUAUACUNNNNNNNNNNNNNNNNNNNNNNNNNNNNNNNNNNNNNNNNNNNNNNNNNNNNNNNNNNNNNNNNNNNNNNNNNNNNNNNNNNNNNNNNNNNNNNNNNNNNCAUAGCAUUUUCUACGCCCCACAACUACGGGCUACACAACUCCGAUAAACUCAAGCAAGGCAUGAAACGAAAGAGGGCAAGGAGCACUACUACAAACAACUAACAACAACUAGCAUGGCAUCAUGGAUCACUAAGGAAAGAAGACACAAAAUGACAUCCCACACACUAUUUCAGACUUAGUGAAAAUUACACCUCAUGAAGUGCAGUUUUCGAUCUGAAGCCAUAUUGACAGCAGCAAAAUCUAUAGCUACAGGGCUCCAAAUGGCAUGAAAAUUCACAGCAUGCUAGAGAAACACAAGGGCUACAACUAACUCCAUUGCGCCAACCUCAAAAGAGCUACAGAUCAAAAGAUAGAAGCAAGACAAGACAACAACCAAAUAUAACAGAUUCCAGACUUAGAAAUAUUUCAGCAUGUCCAAAUCAGCACUAUUUCUAGCAACUUGAGAGCAAGCAAACCACACCUAAACAUGCAUUUCUAUUGCAACUAUAAAUACCAGGGGCUAGCCAAAACAUCCAAGAUCAACUCUCUAGUUGACAACUCCGACAAACGAAGCACGAACUAAAUCCUACGAAGUAAACAAAGGGCAACAUAGCAAAAUGUCGCGCGAACUAACUUGCGCCAAAGUUAAACUAAUUGCACAGAAAAAUCAACAUGGAUUUUUCACCCAGNNNNNNNNNNNNNNNNNNNNNNNNNNNNNNNNNNNNNNNNNNNNNNNNNNNNNNNNNNNNNNNNNNNNNNNNNNNNNNNNNNNNNNNNNNNNNNNNNNNNUCCCAGUCUCGAUCUAUACUAACUCAACGAACACCUUCGGAGAUACCUGUAGAGCAUCUUUAUAGUCACCCAGUUACGUUGCGACGUUUGAUACACACAAAGCAUUCCUCUGGUGUCCGUGAGUUUAUAUGGAUCUCAUGGUCAUAGGAACAAAUACUUGACACGCAGAAAACAGUAGCAACAAAAUGACACGAUCAACAUGCUACGUCUAUUAGUUUGGGUCUAGUCCAUCACAUGAUUCUCCUAAUGAUGUGAUCCCGUUAUCAAGUGACAACACUUGCCUAUGGCCAGGAAACCUUGACCAUCUUUGAUCAACGAGCUAGYCAACUAGAGGCUYACUAGGGACMGUGUKUUGUCUAUKUAUCCACACAWGUAUUUGWGUUUCCAAUCAAURCAAUUMUAGCAUGGAUAAUAAACGAUUAUUAUGAACAAUGAAAUAUAAUAAUAACUAAUUUGUUAUUGCCUCUAGGGCAUAUUUCCAACAUUCGUUUGGUUUGGAUCAUAAACAACAAAGCCCUGCCGUCCUGACCAAAUAUUUGUGCUAGUGCGUACAGNNNNNNNNNNNNNNNNNNNNNNNNNNNNNNNNNNNNNNNNNNNNNNNNNNNNNNNNNNNNNNNNNNNNNNNNNNNNNNNNNNNNNNNNNNNNNNNNNNNNUAUCUGCCUCAGUCGAUACUCCGACGUAGUGUGUCCUCCCUAGCAUUGAAAUCAUAGAUCACUCAAAGCGCCUCCCUCCCUUGAGCUUACCGGUAUGCCGAGUCUCGUCGGAGGCAACCUGGGCCGCCAGCAUGGGCAACGCUGGUGCCCCUACGUCCGCACUCUGGCGGCUGAAACGGGAGUAAGAAGACGGACCUGCCAAUUGGCCAGGUCUCUUCUCUGUCCCUCAGGUGAGCCGGAGCGGCAGUUGGGUGUCCUCGCCGUCAGGAUGAGUGGAGACGGCUUCCAUCGAACACAUUUUCGGCGAACAAAACAUAUUUCAUCCACUAUGCCUUCGACGUUGCCGGCCUCCCACGCGGCUGGACUGAUGGGCCAUCCCAGUCACGGUCCGCACCAGUGCGCGCUACUGCACUAAGGAACAGGACCAUUUAGGUGAUGAUUUUUCUUCUCUUUUUCUUUAUUAGGAGAAUCUAAAACUUCAUACUAAAUCAUAUUAACUCCAAUAAUGUNNNNNNNNNNNNNNNNNNNNNNNNNNNNNNNNNNNNNNNNNNNNNNNNNNNNNNNNNNNNNNNNNNNNNNNNNNNNNNNNNNNNNNNNNNNNNNNNNNNNACGACAAAUCGUUAAGCAACAUCUAGAACGCACCAUGUCUAAUAAAGUACGAUUACGAUGUUCGGACACAACAUUAUGUUGUGGUGUUCCAGGCGGUGUCAAUUGUGAAACAUUCCACAUUGUCUUAAGUGAGUGCCAAACUCAUAACUCAGAUAUUUGUUCCUCGAUCAAGUCAUAGGAAUUUGAUCUUCUUGUUACAAUGAUUUUCAACUUUUCCAUUGAAAUUGCUUGAACUUUUUCAAACAUUUCAGACUUGUGGUUCAUUAAGUAAAUAUAACCAUAUCUACUCAAAUCAUCUGAGAAGGUGAGAAAAUUAACGAUAACCACCACGCACCUCUAUGCUCAUUGGUAGACACACGUCAGUAUGUAUGAUCUCCAACAACUCACUUGCACACUCCAUUGUUCCCGGAGAACCGGAGUCUUAGUCAUCUUGCCCAUGAGGCAUGGUUCACAUGUGUCAAGUGAUUCAAAAUCAAGUGACUCCAAAAGUCCAUCAGCAUGGUGUUUCUUCACGCUUUCUAUACCAAUAUGACUUGAGCGGUAGUACCACAAGAAAGUGGCGCUAUCAUUAUCAACACUACAUCUUUUGGCCUCAAUAUUAUGGAUAUAUGUGUCAUCACUAUCGAGAUUCAAUAUAAACAAACCCUCACAUUGGGUGCAUGAAAUAAAAGAUAUUACUCACAUAAAUAGAACAACCAUUAUUUUUGACUAAAAUGAGUAACCGUCUCGCAAUAACAAGAUCCAGAUAUAAUGUGCAUUCUUAACAUAGGCACUAAAUAACAAUUAUUUANNNNNNNNNNNNNNNNNNNNNNNNNNNNNNNNNNNNNNNNNNNNNNNNNNNNNNNNNNNNNNNNNNNNNNNNNNNNNNNNNNNNNNNNNNNNNNNNNNNNAGAGAUAUAUAUAUAGAAUUGGCUUACACUCGCCACAAGCUACAUCAGAGUCACAUCAGUACAAUACAUCAACAUCAUGAAUAAGAGCAGGUUCGACUACGGACGAAAACAAACGAGAAAAUAAGAAAGACGUCCAUCCUUGCUAUCCAGGCUGCCGGCCUGGAACCCAUCCCUAGAUCGAUGAAGAAGAAGAAGAAGAAGCAACUCCAAAUGUACAAUCAACGCGCUCGCGUCAAGUAACCUUUACCUGUACCUACAACCGGUGUUGUAGUAAUCUGUGAGCCACACGGGACUCAGCAAUCUCAUUUCCAAAGGUAUCAAGACUAGCAAAGCUUAAUGGGUGAGGUAGGGUUAACUGGUGAGGCUGCAGCAAGCAACUAAGCAUAUAUGARGUGGCUAAACUUACGAGUACAAGAAUAAAGAGGGGAAGAUCUACGCAUAACGGGCGUGAACUACUGAUGAUCAACGAAUGAUCCUGAACACAUACUUACGUCAGACAUAACCCCACCGUGUCCUCGAUCGAAGAAGGAAGUCACGAAAGAGACAGUCACGGUUACGCACACAGUUGGCAUAUUUAAUUAAGUUAACUUCAAGUUAUCUAGAACCAGUAUUAAACAAAGUUUCCACGUUGCCACAUAACCGCGGGCACGGAUUCCAAAAUAUUUAACCUACAGGGGUG
rnacentral:lncRNA from 1 species